rnacentral:pre_miRNA from 1 species
GGCUCUGGCUCCGUGUCUUCACUCCCGUGUCUAGAGGAGGGAGGGAGGGCCGGGGGCUGUGCU